CAGUAGCCACGGUAAUACGAAGGGGGCUAGCGUUGCUCGGAAUUACUGGGCGUAAAGGGCGCGUAGGCGGACAGUUCAGUCGGGGGUGAAAGCCCGGGGCUCAACCUCGGAAUUGCCUUCGAUACUGGCUGUCUUGAGUAUGAGAGAGGUGUGUGGAACUCCGAGUGUAGAGGUGAAAUUCGUAGAUAUUCGGAAGAACACCAGUGGCGAAGGCGACACACUGGCUCAUUACUGACGCUGAGGCGCGAAAGCGUGGGGAGCAAACAGGAUUAGAUACCCGCGUAGUCCCUGUCUCUUAUAC
rnacentral:rRNA from 1 species